GGGAGAGCUGGCAGCGACUUGGUGUUGGCAGCGCCCAGCCCUCCCCUCUGCCAGCCUCCCCUUCCCCUUUAAAUAAACAUCCGUGUACAAAGCAGAAGGCACGCAGGAUUCCCCCCCCCCUUCCCCUGGAAAAGGGAUGCGGAGCCCGUCUGGGAUCGGCCGCGCAGCAAACGCCGCCCGCAGCCGGAGACGCCGCUCGGUGAAAAACAGCAAAAGUACCUUUUGAAUUCUUCCAUCAAUGUCCAAAUAAAUACAUUUGGGCCGGUUCCUGAGGAAGAUGGCCAUGAUGACAAAAAUGCAGCCAUUUGGAAAGAGACAACAAGAACACUCACUCUGGGGGAUGCACAUGGGACAUUUGGGAUUGUAGAGAGGAUACUGAGCUCUCCUACUGUCAUCACCCACUCCAGGAGUGAUCAGACAUCACUGGGGCAUUUCAGGACUUGAUCACACAUCACUGCCUAAUGAUCAGAGUCUCACACUGCUGGAGGGGAAAUUCUGGUGCCUACCAGUGAUUCUUGCUGUGUCUCACCCCUCAGAGCCAGGUAAUGGGCUCAAAUCUUGUGGAAGUGAGAGCAGCCACCCCUGGUACCUCACAAAUAUCUGUGUGUGCAGUGCUGGCCUGGAGAAGAGCAGACUCAAGCCAUAAAGAACUUAUAAAGCACUUGUCCAACAUAACAUCUGGCAUUUCUUGGCUUUUCUCUUUUGUCUGCUGAGGGAAAAAAACCCUUUUUUCUCCUGCUCUAUGUUAGCAUUUUUUCAGUGAUCUGUUUUCUACAGCACUUGCAGUGCCUGGCAGGUGCCAGGCUGGUUUCCUGAAGGUCUCCCAGUGGGGCAGACCCACUGCCUUUCCCUGCUGGCUGAGGAAGGAGCUCACUCUCCACAAGCAUUUCCUUUUGCUAGAGCAGAGGCACCAGGUCCUUGGCUCAGCCCACCCUCCAUCCUGGUUCCACUUUCCAUGGAAUUCAAUUCCAGUUUCACCUCCAGGAGCCACAGGACCCCAGGAACCUCCAUCCCUGUGCCAUGCUGUGCCUGCAGAGAGCCUUGGCUGCCUCCUUUCCACCGCAGCCUCUCUGCCUGAUUUCCAGCCUCCCUUCCCUCUCUGCUUUCCAUUUCCUACCUCUGUUUCCCACUGCCAUCUCCUCAAUCCAGCUCUCUCCUCCUAGGCUUUCAUUUCCAGUAGGAGAGAGCCAAGAAUCCUGUCCCAGGCACCUCUGCAGGACGUGGAGCUUGCAGGGCAAAGCACAGACACACACACACAGAGGGGCCCCAGCUGGCUGGAAUGACCCUGCUGCAUCCCUGGAGCAGAGCUGCUGGGAAAGCCCAGCUCCCAGAGCUGUGUUUUCAUAAGGUUAUGGAAGGAAUUAAGAGACCCAACUGGAACUUUCAAGAGCUGAUGAGAAAAAAAUAAAUGAAAUUAAGUGUGCCUGGAGUCACCCAAUAGAUCAUUUAGAGGGAUGAUGGCCAAGAAGUGGAAAAAUCAAUUCCCUCCAUUGGGCAAGGCUGGCUCAUGCUCUUGGCAGCAAAGCCUGAGCAGGGGCUGCAGCCCGUGGUCCCAGACUGCAGGGAGGGGAUAGUUGGCUCCAUCUGGAGAAAGCUGCCUGGCAUUUUCAGUGGUGCAGGAAAGUGAAGUUCCCUGAGCUGCCUGUUUUGGGAGGCUGCCAUGUGAGCAGCUCAGAGCUGUGCAGUGACUCACUGGAAAUCAGCUCCUCCAUCUCCCCGACAAGCAGAUCUCAGACAUCCCCAAGUCUUGGCAAGCCAAAGAUUAACCCAAAGGCUGAGGGCUGCUGAUCCUGCUCAGCCUGGUGCAAUCUGUGCCACAGAUCACAGAGCUGGGGACAGGGGGUGUCUGGGCCACAGACCUGGCAUGGGCAGAGCAGGAGGUGAUCGUUCCUGACUCAUCCCUGGAGCCUCCUUGUCUGCUGAUCACCCCCUGCAAUAACAUCAGCACAGCCCCAGCAAUGUCUGCAAAGGGUUUCACUGCUUGGGGCUGCUUUUCAGUGGGUGGGAGAUUGUCCCUCAGCUGCAUCACUGCAGAGCCAGCCAUGAGGAAUUCCUGGAGGGUCAGGCAGACUUUGCACAAUUCUUUGCAGUACAUUGAAAAUUAGACUUUCCAUGUUAACAUUUUCAAAGUAGAAGUCUUCAUAAAUAGCUAGGUAAUCUCUCAGAUAUAUUUUUUUCUGUGAUGUAGGUAUUUUCUCAUUUUCCUGCUGUUUGUGCAUGGCUGUUUCCAUUAAGGGGCAGGAGAACAUUUUCUCAAUAGAAGAGAUGAAAGAGUCUCUCAGCUUUUAGGGAGGGAGGCCAAAAAACCGUCACUGAAUCCAUGAGAAAAAGAUGACAAAAGCCUCCAGUAGCUCUGAAACUGUCUGAUGUGCUCUGCCAGAACAUUUGAAGCCAACAUGAAAUGGGGACAUUUUUAACUAAUUCCCAAAAUUAUGAGUACUUGAGUGUGACUUUUCCUGGGAGUCACACAACUCUCCAGAGCGUUCCUACCACCUCCAAAAGUCUCAGGUCACCACCAAAGGAACUCAAAAGAUUGGAUGGCAAAUCAUUACUGUCUGCCUUCAAAUAACACAUUUGUGGCUCUUCUUUUUGGCUGUCUCCUCUUCACUGAACCUGACUGUUCAUCCAUGUCAGAUACAUAAGAUUCCCCCUCUAGAACUUUGAGAGCCAGAAACUCUCACUGAGGAAAAUUGAACUGAGAUUUUCAUGCAAUAAGACAAUCCAAUUUCCUGAGGAAACAGUAAACAUCAUGGAUUAAUGGUGUGGUCAGGACAGAGGGCAGUGCUGAAGUAAUGCAGAAAAUGAAAGGGAAGUAGCUUAAGAGGGAAGGGAGUGCUUCAUACAGAACUUGAAUUUUAUUUUAUUUUUGGAUUACUUUUCACACUGCUUUCUCCAGCCUCCAUUUGAUUGGACACAGCCCAGAUUUUCACCCCAGUGCUGGGUUUCAGCCCAUGCCUCCCCUUCCCUCCUGCACUCUCCUUUUCUUAGAGGUGGCCCCAGGCAAACCUUUUAGUGAGAAGCUUCUUCCAGAGGGGCUUUGUUAGAGGCUGGACCCUCUCCAGUCACAGCACAGCUGAAGCCAUGACUCCUUCCUGGUCCUUCAUCCUCCUCUUUCUCCUUUCUCCUUCGCCUUGGAAUGGAUUUCACUGGAUUCACACAAAUUCAUUUCCCCCCCACUAAAUCCUAUCCUCUCACCUUCAGCUGCUCCCACGCAAGCUGGACACUGGAUGUGAAGGCUUUCCUCUGCUUGGACCUUAGCCCCUGCCUAAAAGAUUCCAAUAGGCAGGAAGGAGGUUUUCAGACAAGAAACUGAGAUCAAGGACGUACAGAAAUAAACACACAGAAAUAAAAUGAAAACCCAGGAGCCCUCUGCUAAAAAGGGCACAAUGUUGUACCCAGCUCUUUUCUCCAGCCCCACAUCUUUUUUCCUGCACUUUUUACUCAUUUGUUUUCCCCUGCUGCUGUUUCCUCAUCACCAUCAUCUCCUCUGGCCAGUGCUCUGCUCUCCACUCCCUGCCUGGUUGAAGGGGCUCCACACUCUUCCCCUGCCCCACUUCAUCCCAGGGUUUCAAUCUCCCUUCAAUCUGCCAUCCAGCCCUUCUGCCAGCAGAACCAGCAGCUCCCUGCCCCCCUCUGCCCCAGGAAUUGUGCCCAGGGGCAGCAGCAAAGCCCAGAAUCACUCAGCAGCCAAGCAGGAUUCCUGCAGAGGAACCCAAGCCCUGCUUCCCUUGGAGCGUGGCACUGGGGAGAAAGCCAAAGGCAACACCCCACUUUGUUUCUAUUGCUGCAAUGGUGCUCUUGGUCUGUUUUAUUUCUCCUCACUGCUCUCCCCUCCUCCCACCCAAGCACAUCACAUUCCCAGGGUGAGGGGCUGAGGCUGGGGCUGUGUUUGGGGAAGAGGAGCUGCUGCUCAGUGGAGUGCCUGGGUUGGGUGCAGGUUUUUGCUGCAUUCACACUUUCUAGAAAAAUCCCUUCGUUCAGGAUUUUUCUCCUGGGAAGCUGAGAACCCUCAGAGAAAGGAAAACAAUUCUCUCAUUUGCUUCUCCUCUGUUGUGCUCAUGUGGAAUGUGUUUGGAGAUUGUUCACCCACAGGUGAUUGUUUCACUGGAUUCUGCUGGGAGUUGUUUUGACUCUUUGGCCAGUCAGGGCCAAGCUGUGCUGG